UACCAGCACCCGAGUGGUCGGGACGAUUAUUGGGCCUAAAGCAUCCGUAGCCGGUCCUACAAGUCUUCCGUUAAAUCCACCUGCUUAACAGAUGGGCUGCGGAAGAUACUAUAGGGCUAGGAGGCGGGAGAGGCAAGCGGUACUCAGUGGGUAGGGGUAAAAUCCUCUGAUCCAUUGAAGACCACCAGUGGCGAAGGCGGCUUGCCAGAACGCGCUCGACGGUGAGGGAUGAAAGCUGGGG
rnacentral:rRNA from 1 species